rnacentral:rRNA from 1 species
AUUGAACGCUGGCGGCAGGCUUAACACAUGCAAGUCGAACGAGUGGCGGACGGGUGAGUAAUGUUUGGGAAUCUAGCUUCUGGCGGGGGAUAACUACGGGAAACUGUAGCUAAUACCGCGUACCAUAGGAUGAGCCCAAGUGGGAUUAGAUAGUUGGUGGGGUAAAGGCUCACCAGGCGGACGAUCUCUAGCUGGUCUGAGAGGAUGACCAGCCACACUGGGACUGAGACACGGCCCAGACUCAGACGGGAGGCAGCAGUGGGGAAUAUUGCGCAAUGGGGGCAACCUGACGCAGCCAUUCCGCGUGUAUUAGGAAGGCCUUCGGGUUGUAAAGUACUUUCGGUAGAGAGGCGUUAACUGCAGAAGAAGCACCGGCUAACUCCGUGCCAGCAGCCGCGGUAAUUC